CAAGUACUCCCUCUGUUCGGAAUUACUUGUCAUCAAAAUGGAUGUGUCUAGAACUAAAAUACAUCUAGAUACAUCCAUUUCAAUGACAAGUAUUUUCGGACGGAGGGAGUACAAG
rnacentral:pre_miRNA from 1 species